AACGAACGCUGGCGGCGCGCCUAAUACAUGCAAGUCGAGCGAGAAGACGUAGCAAUACGUUUGUAAAGCGGCGAACGGGUGAGGAAUACAUGGGUAACCUACCCUCGAGUGGGGAAUAACUAGCCGAAAGGUUAGCUAAUACCGCGUACGCUCCUUGGACUUCGGUUCAGGGAGGAAAGCGAUACCGUGGGUAUCGCGCUCUUGGAUGGGCUCAUGUCCUAUCAGCUUGUUGGUGAGGAACGGCUCACCAAGGCUUCGACGGGUAGCUGGUCUGAGAGGACGAUCAGCCACACUGGCACUGCGACACGGGCCGGACUCCUACGGGAGGCAGCAGUAAGGAAUAUUGCGCAAUGGGCGAAAGCCUGACGCAGCGACGCCGCGUGGGGGAUGAAGGUCUUCGGAUUGUAAACCCCUUUCGGGAGGGAAGAUGGAACGAGCAAUCGUUCGGACGGUACCUCCAGAAGCAGCCACGGCUAACUUCGUGCCAGCAGCCGCCGUAA
rnacentral:rRNA from 1 species